CCUACGGGCGGCAGCAGUGGGGAAUAUUGGUCAAUGGGCGAAAGCCUGACCCAGCAACGCCGCGUGAAGGAAGAAGGCUCUCGGGUUUUUAACCUUUUUUGAUAGGGAAGUACAGAAGACGGUACCUGCCGAAUUAGCCAUGGCUAAUUACUAGCCAGCAGCCGCGGUAAUACGUAGGUGGCAAGCGUUGCCCGGAUUUACUGGGUGUAAAGGGCGUAUAGCCGGGAUGUCAAGUCAGGAGUGAAAGCCUGGGGCUCAACCCCCGAACUGCAUUUGAUACUGUUGGUCUUGAGUAUCGGAGAGGCAGGCGGAAUUCGUAGUGUAGCGGUGAAAUGCGUAGAUAUUAGGAGGAACACCAGUGGCGAAGGCGGCCUGCUGGACGGCAACUGACGGUGAGGCGCGAAAGCGUGGGGAGCAAACAGGAUUAGAUACCCCAGUAGUC
rnacentral:rRNA from 1 species